rnacentral:rRNA from 1 species
CCUACGGGAGGCAGCAGUGGGGAAUAUUGGACAAUGGGCGCAAGCCUGAUCCAGCCAUGCCGCGUGAGUGAUGACGGCCUUAGGGUUGUAAAGCUCUUUCGCUCGGGACGCGGUACCGAGAUAAGAAGCCCCGGCUAACUUCGUGCCAGCAGCCGCGGUAAUACGAAGGGGGCUAGCGUUGUUCGGAAUUACUGGGCGUAAAGCGCGUGUAGGCGGGUCUUUAAGUCAGGGGUGAAAUGCCAAGGCUCAACCUUGGAACUGCCUUUGAUACUGGAGAUCUUGAGUCCGGGAGAGGUGAGUGGAAUUGCGAGUGUAGAGGUGAAAUUCGUAGAUAUUCGCAAGAACACCAGUGGCGAAGGCGGCUCACUGGCCCGGACUGACGCUGAGACGCGAAAGCGUGGGGAGCAAACAGGAUUAGAUACCCUUGUAGUC